rnacentral:rRNA from 1 species
AUUGAACGCUGGCGGCAUGCCUUACACAUGCAAGUCGAACGGCAGCACGGGAGCAAUCCUGGUGGCGAGUGGCGAACGGGUGAGUAAUGUAUCGGAACGUGCCCAGUCGUGGGGGAUAACGCAGCGAAAGCUGUGCUAAUACCGCAUACGAUCUAUGGAUGAAAGCGGGGGAUCGCAAGACCUCGCGCGACUGGAGCGGCCGAUAUCAGAUUAGCUAGUUGGUGGGGUAAAGGCUCACCAAGGCGACGAUCUGUAGCUGGUCUGAGAGGACGACCAGCCACACUGGAACUGAGACACGGUCCAGACUCCUACGGGAGGCAGCAGUGGGGAAUUUUGGACAAUGGGCGCAAGCCUGAUCCAGCAAUGCCGCGUGCAGGAUGAAGGCCUUCGGGUUGUAAACUGCUUUUGUACGGAGCGAAAAGGCUUUCUCUAAUACAGGGGGCUCAUGACGGUACCGUAAGAAUAAGCACCGGCUAACUACGUGCCAGCCGCCGCCGUAA